CAGCAGGCUGGGCCUGCAAGAUGAAGUAGCUAUUCCCUGGGUCUGGGACCCUGUUGCCCAGGGGAGCAGUGGAGUGCCCCGCAGGUGGUGCUGCAGCUACCCGUGACCACCUGCUCUCACUUGCUGGGGACCCCCUUCCAGCCUAAAGGCAGAAAAGCCCAAGAUGAUUGGCCAACUCUGCGGCAAUCCCACAAUGGAUGCAAAGGUUCAGGCCUAAAGGUGGAGAGGAAGAACAGCGAAACUGUAAAGAAGUUUCUUCCAGGGACGUCUGGGUGGCUCAGUCAAAUGUCUGCCUUUGGCUCGGGGCAUGAUCCCAGAGUCCUGGAAUCGAGUCCCACAUCGGGCUCCCUCUCUCUUUCUUUCUCCACCCACCCCCCGACAA